CAACAAACCAUUCUCCCUCCCCCGGACGCUCGUUCUUCCCUUCUCUCCCGGACGCUAGUUCUUCGCCAUCCACCUCCCCAACCCAAGGAUCCUCACCAGCAUGGACCCAACAGCACCAGCGUUUAAUCGGGUUGCUGCUCCAACAGUUGAGGAUCUCGACCAGCGCGCACUACUAAUAAGGGAUAAAUUCAGUGCUGAGGGUUGGCUUUGUCCGCGUUGUUAUCAAGUAAACAACCCCAUAGACAACCUACUCUAUAGGGUUCCAGCUUUCGAGUGUACUAAUCCCGAUAAGUGCAAUGCUAAGUGCCCUGGGACAGUUGAAUUGAGCAUUUACUGACUGCAUAAUGAAUACCGUCAGGACCAAUUUUCUGAUUAGAAGUCAAGGCGAUAACCGGAACUGCAGAGCACAUGCAGUCUUGGCCGGCAUGGAUGCUGCACUUAAAAUCGAAGGGGCUCUCCGCGGCGUGCCUGUGUUACAGCCACUCAAUGGUACAAGCCUAUUAAGAGACUACCACCGCUUCUAUCCGGAUGGUGUUGGGCAUGAACGAGAGCGGGAAUGGAGAGGAUAUCGCAGAUACGAACAGUUGCUGAGGGUUGCCCAGGCGUUCGGAGUUCAGUAUGUGUCUCCUAUGAGAACAAUCACAAGGGCGCUGAGACUGCAAUCCUGGUUUCGACUGACAACUAGGCAGACUAGUAUGGACUAUCUAGUGCGCCUGAUCGCUAAUGGCUAUCCGUUAUUAGCCACCAUGGAGAUUGGUCGCUGGUUCAGAAUGUUGGCGCCGCCUCCUUGCAGCGCCGCUUCCUCUUCUACCCCGAGCUGCCUCGCACAACUCUUUUGAGGUCUCUCUCUUCUCUCUACACACACACACGGUGAGAAGACUCAACACACACACGCCAUACACCAAGGAAGACGAACAGCUUUGCCCCAAGCACUUCCUUGGUUACCACCUUGGCUACAUGUUUUUCUCUAGCCCUCACGGCCUCCUUUCUUCAUUACUCCACUGAAACAUAUAUAUACAAGGACCAUACACGCACUGGCCAGCCACCUCUCUCGGCAACUAAUCCCACUAAUCUAUGCAUGCACUAACAGCCUUAUCCUACUCCUGAAAUCACUCCAACGGCCACACGACUCGGCCAUAUCUAAAACUAGCUCCACGUCUCAACGUGGCCUACUACUUCAUGCACGAAGCUAGCUAGCUACAACCAACCAGCACACUCUAACUAACUACGGCUUGGCCAAAUCAUUCGGCUCAACCUGAACGAGCAGCCCAUCACCCUCCAGCUUCGUCGUGUCUCGCCGCUUCUCACGGCCUCACCGUAUCGCACGACAUCAUCGGCAUCUUGCCGUGCUCACCGCAUCGCACGGCAGCCCGACAUCUCGCUUUCUUCACGCGCGUAGCUGAAGUAUCAUUGGCCUACAUACACUGCCCUAGAUCAUCUAAACUACAUGCAAACUCAAAACUAAACAUGCAUGCUGGUAAUCAUGACAAGAUUAGUGCUAACACAGAAUGGCAGCGGAUGGACACUUGUACAUGGGGCCUCCUGCUGAAUUUCCCGGUAAUCAUGCUGUGUUGCUGAUCGGAAGGGUAGCACGACAAGUGGUGCUCCCAAAUAACAUAACCCGGCAGAGUGAGGUGGUUCCCAGCCUUCUUUUUAAGGCAAGGAACUCAAAUGGGUCUACAGCUCACAGGUCUGCUGCACAAGGAGGUUAUGGUGGGGAUGUGUACCUAUUGGCGCAGGAUUUGGGUCCAUACUUGUAUGGAUUUCGUAUUGAGAUCCCAACCUGGAUGCUUCCUAAUGAUGCCUGAGUCAGCACUGUCAUCACCUACCUAACCUAGGUAUGGAACAACACGUCUGCUUGGUGGAAAAUGUUUCAGUUUGCGUUUGGUUGCUGAGACGUAUGGUGGUCAUGGUAUCUUCUAGCCGUAGGUUAUCUUAUCCAUAUGGUGAUCAUGGUAUCUUCUAGCCGUACUUUAUCUUACCUGCGCUGUGUCGCAGUCCGGUCACUACUUGACCCUUGUAUCAAACUCAUUUUACCGUUCCUAGAACUUGUAAGGCCUCAGUUUAACCCGGGGUGUGAGUCCCGUUUCUAGAAAAACAAACAUGUAUGGUGAUGCUGGCUGGCAUUGUAAUAUUGACAAUUGAUCCCUGUCUAGUUACUAUUUGAUUGUAGCCUUUGUCAACAAUAUUUGCAAGCAACCUGAGUAGUCUUGUUUUGUUUUGUUAUGUUCUUUUAUAGUACUACAAGAGAUUUUUCUUCUUCUGACAUA